CUGAAUCCAAUAUCCAUGUAUCAAUCUUCGACUCAAAGCAUUUACAUGAAAGUUUACCAAAAUCAAUAGAAGAGGUGCAUACUAUCAUACUUGCAAAGUUGACAGCAUUGGAAUUGGGUGAGUGUGAAUUCCCUGAGGAUCUCCCAACAUCUCUAUUCCCCACAUGAAAUUGUUGAAGCAAGCUUACAAGCUGUUCAUUGUCACGCCCCAACCUCGGGAGGUGCGACCGGUGCUCAAUCGAGUGAACCCAAUAGAUCAAGCCUUAUCGAACACUUUCUACCCAACUCAAUAUGAUUAAGGAAACCAAGCUUUUGUUUAUUUAAACAAUAGGAAAUAUUGCACAAUCAACAUUGUUAGUUCAUUUUACAUCACAACCUUAAACCGUAGUUAAGUUCCCAAGAUUCAAUACAAUUUCACUUUAGAGUAACAAGAGUUAGAAUUACAACAUAGUUCAUAGACCCAUCCAACACCCGUACAUAACCUACACAUACGUCUACAGAGCCUUUAAGGAUACAAAAGACAAUGAUGACAAUAUCGGCAACAAGGCCCCGACUAUACCUCAAAAGUGGAUAUCUCUAUCAAAAGAUGUACAACAUAGCCCCUUGAAGGAGAAAGGGGCUCACCAAGACUUUGAGAAGAAGGUACUCCGCUACGCGCGAUCGGCACUAUCCGCAAUAGAGCCACCUACAUUCAUUUAAAAAUGUAGCACCCCCGGCAAAAGGGAAGUUAGUACCAUGGAAUAGUACUAGUAUGUAUAACUAAACACCAUCUAGUUAGAAAUAACUUUCAUACAAGAAUAAGGAAAUCACAAGUAUAACUCAAACACUUUAAAUGAUCACAACAUCAUCAAAUAAAAGAAUCAUACAAUUUUUCACAUCAUUUUCCCAUAGCUUUUAGUUUUGGGGCAUGUCAUACUAUUCAUCAUUGUCCACAAUACCACCACUAUCUUGAGCGGAGUCCGAUCUCGAACCGAUCGGGUAGGUUGCCUCAUUUGAGACAUAUACUUCAAUCACAAAUACAAUACCACUAUGUGUGCGGCAUGGCGUCCGAUCUCGGCCCGAUCGGCUAGGCCGCCUUAACAAGGCGUUUUCCUUUUUCAUCAACCAUCUCAUUUCAAUCUUUGUUUCACAUAUAUCAUUUCAUAGGCACUUAGGGCCACAAUUAUCACAAUAUUUUCACUUUCAAUGUUAGAUUUGUAGUUUAGGAUAAUAUGUGCACUCAAGGGCAAAUAAAAUUGUAAGCAUAUAUGAGUUUUCACAUAGAUGGCACAAUAUAUGCAGCUUCAAUCUCACCUUAAGGUCUAAGCAUCUCAAUACAUGAUUCAUGUUCCUUGCACCCUUUCAAGUUAUCAAGAAUAGCACAUUGAUCUUAUUGAGACACAUCUUUCACGCAUAUAAGGUCGCAACCCCAAAUUCAUGUGAAACAACAAUCAAGACAACAAUUCAACUUUAAUCUUACCGCAUUUACAUAAACACCAACGGAGCUCAAUUUCCAAAAGACGGGGUUUUAGCCAUACAUACCUCAGUAGAGCUUUCCUUAUAUCCUUACAAUAAAUUUCGGAAUUUCCUAGCAACUUCAAUCAAUUUUAUGAAAAUUACAAGUUGAACCAAGAAUUAAAGGCAUGAAAGAGAUUCUAACUCGUUCAAGUAAAUUAUCAAGAACUAAGUGUGCAUAGCGAUUUUAGGACACUUUUGUGAGAGAUUUUCAUCAUCCUAUACCACAAUUGUUAUCUCUUUUGGUUCACAACCACCCCAUACCCCAUUAUCUUUUAUGCAUGCAAGAUUAUCAGCCCUUAUACCCAUGAACCCCCUUGCUAAUCACUUAUUUUAAUGGAAAUUUCGAAAUUAUAGAUGAGGGUACAAGCUCUUACCUCUUAGGGUGAAGACCUAGCAAUUUCACUUGACAAUCUUCAAGUAUUUAGGACAAGGAUGGAGUGGGGACUAGAUGAAGAUCACUCCCUCUCUUUCUAGAACUUCCUCUCUCACUCCAUAUGCCAUGAAAUAACAGGAAAAUGGUCUAAUGGGGUAUUUUUAAUAGGAAGGGGUCGGAUUAUAAAAUUUAGAAAAUAGGAGCCCCGACAUAAUUUGCGAUCGCAUAAUGGACUUGCGGCCCGCAAAACUGGCCCCAAAACCUGGACAAACUGUUUGGGUGUGCGACAGAAAUGUGGUCGCAUAAUGCAUCGCAGAACUGCCCUUCACAAAAAAUCCAAGGGGAUUAUGUGAUGACUAUGCGGCCCGCAUAUUGAUUAUGCGAUCGCAUAAUUGGCCGCAUAGUUGGCCUCAAUUUAACCAACAUACUUACUGGCUCUGCGGCGACUAUGCGGUCCGCAUACCUAUUAUGCGACCGCAUAAUGGACCGCAGAAACGCUCUUUUCUAGCAAACAUAAUUCUUAACUUUUUAAUGCACCAGUCAAUCCAAAUGGUCCGAACUGCGAUGAAUUUUUAACACAUGAUCCUAUCUUGGCAUCAUGAGAUUCAGGUUUUUGAGUAGAAAUUUCUAUGGGCCCUUACAUCCUCACCCAAUUAAGAUCAUUGGUCCUCGAAUGAGGAUCAAGGUUCACUUAUUAGCAAUCUCUAUGCAACCUCAGUUUUUCACAACAUGAAACAUAUCCACAACCCUAAAUUUGGCUAACUUCCUAAAUUUUCAAAAGUUUUGCCAGAGCUUCCUUUGUAACUAGGCCUAUCCACCUGUCAGAGAGCCCCAGAAACAUAUCAUAACAGCAUGUACACAUUUUACAGUCAUAAUAUAACCUGUACAAUACUAACCAUGGCUGCAUAGGCAACAUAUAACCAAAACAGGACAGUUUUACAUGGAUCAAAUCAUAAGAUAAGAGUUCAGGGGAACCAAGUGCAUAAAAGCUAUUACAUGACUAUUCGAACAAAUGUGAGUACUUCUUUCUCAUUUCUUCCUCGGCUUCCCAAGUGGCUUCCUCAACCUACUGGUUUUCACACCCUUUUUUUAACAAACUUCACUUAACCCUCUUAAAAAUAAUAAAAGAUUUGUAAAGCUCAAAAGGGUUUUUCAAUUAGAAAGUGACAAAAGGAUUGUGUUUCAAAAGAAAAUAACUCAGAGUCGCCACUUAACAUUUGAUUUCGGUGUGCCAGGUCACCGUUUUUUCUAAAAAUAAAUUUUUUUUCCUUUCAAAAUACUUGAGACUCCAAAACUAAGUCUGCACCAGAGAUUCGGGUAAGGGGGUUCAUUUGACUGAGGGAGAAGGUGUUAGGCACUCCCCAAGUCCCGUAACUAGUACGGUUGCGUAUUUGAUCUAGUCGGCUUUUAAAAUGUUCGAAUUGAGGUAAUAACACACAAAAGGAAAAUAAACAAUCAAAAGAGACUCGAGGUUGUCCCACCUAAAUGAAAGAAAAUUAAAAGAAGAAAAAUUAAAGUUCUAAUUAUCCUACGCUAUUUCUUCUACGAUGUUCUCCAUGGCCUCCAAUUACAUUCACUUCAGGGCAUACCCCGAAAUAAAAUAUAUACAAAUCCAUCGAGGCAUUCCCUAGAUAAAUUUAACUAAGGGAACGACCUCUCCCCUCGAAACUAACAAAAUCCUAAGGCUUGCCUACCCAAGUGAUGACGGCCUAAGCAUGCUCCUAGCGAUAACAAAAGAAGAGAAGUAAAAUUAGAAAUAAUAAAACUAUUACAUGCUCACUUUUCUUUUAACUUUUCCAACAGUUAAACCCCACUAUGAUCAAGCUUAAAUUAUAUUAUAUCCCCAAAUUAAUUAUAUGUUCCAACUCUGCUCUAAAGGGCAUCAAACAAGAAAUAAUAUAAUAAAUAUAGUGGCUUAAUUGCCAUGUGAACGAAGUUUAAAGCCACUAACUCCUAAAGGGCAAACAAGAUCAUUUAAUUCUAUUUUAGAGUCUACUGUAUAUAGUUUGGAUAUAACAUUGAAAGUGACAGGCCUUAAAUAAUCUUCAACCAAACAAAAUAUUGUCAAGAACUUUAUUCAUAUCACAUUGGAAAUUGACUCCAAAAUAGAAGUAAGAGUGGGAAGAAUUGAACCUGAGAUCGCUUUCCAAUAUAUAACUUCAGCAACUAUGGCAACUGAAAAUCAAACUUUCAAUUGAUGAAAUUUCCACCAAUACACGGAUAGAAUCGAGCGACCUCGAACUGAAUCAAACUCCAUGUUUUUAAGUGAAAUUCCAAAAUUAAAAUGAAGAAAGAAAUUGAAAAUAUUUUUUUUGUUUUGUUUUUUUUUGAAAUUUGGAUCCUAUUGACUAAAAAAAUGGAUCCAACUGAAGAAAGAAAUUUUGAAAAUAUAUGAAGUUUUCUCCAUACAAAUACACCAAUUAGACAAUUUCUUUUUAGAUUAACGUUUCCAUCUUUUCAUGCUGAGUGGAGGCGCGAUAGUAAAUUGGAUUUCAAGAGGAGAUGGGAUUUGGCCGUUUGGUUUCAAGAGGAGAGGGUUGUCGUCUCCUCUCUUGUGUGUAUGCAGCUGUUAUCUCAAGUCUAAAGGGGGUAGGUCUUUUUUUAGGUUAUGAAGAAGAAGGGAGCUCAUGGGGUGUAAGGGUUUUAAUUUGGUGUAUAUGGUAUUGGGCUCAAAAUCUUGUGGGCCAUUCUGAAUUGGGCCAAAUUUGGAUAAGAAAAUCUUAACAAGCCCAAUGUUUUUCCAUAUUAAUAUAAAAAUAUAAAAUUAAUCCUAAUUAAUUAAAAUAAACAAUAUUAUAUUGUUAAACUAUUU
rnacentral:lncRNA from 1 species